GGGGUUGUGACUCAGUGGUAGAGCGCUUGCCUAGCAUGUAAGGGGUCUGUGUUCGAUCCUCAGCACCA
rnacentral:tRNA from 1 species